rnacentral:miRNA from 1 species
CGUACAGAAAGAAAAUACCUCCCUC